GACGAACGCUGGCGGCGUGCCUAAUACAUGCAAGUCGAACGCAGUGGGGACGGGUGAGUAACACGUGGGUAACCUCCCAUCAGUUGGGAUAACACUUGGAAACAGGUGCUAAACCGAUACUGAUGGAUGGACCCGCGGUGCAUUAGCUAGUUGGUGAGGUAACGGCUCACCAAGGCCACGAUGCAUAGCCGACCUGAGAGGGUGAUGGGCCAGACUGGGACGGAGACACGGCCCAGACGGCUACGGGAGGCAGCAGAGGGGAAUAUUCGGCAAUGGACGAAAGUCUGACCGGGAAAGGCCGCGUGAGUGAAGAAGGUGUUCGGAUCGUAAAACUCUGUUGUUAGGGAAGCGGUAUCUAAACAGAAAGCCACGGCUAACUACGUGCCAGCAGCCGCGGUAAUAC
rnacentral:rRNA from 1 species